GAGUCGCAGUUCGUCAUCGUCAGGCGCUUUCGGACCCGCAGGCGGAGCCGCUUGGUUUCACGUGAGGUCCGUGCGGACUGCGGCCCUGCUGCCCCACCUCGUCUCCGGCCGGGAGCAGCGGGCGCUCGGCGCUGGGGCCUGGCGGGGAGCGGGACCCCGGGUUCCUUAGAGGCCGCGGAGGCCCAGGGCAUUCCCUGUGCCGAGGAAGAGCGGAGGUGGAAGGAGAAAGAAAUGUCAAGAAGAGAACUGCUUAAAGGGAAACUAAACCGAGCCAGAGUUUCCUUGCUGUGACAGCACAUUUGGUGCAGUGGGCCAAAAUUUUAAUCUCCGGACUGCAGCCUGCGACCCCUAGACGAUUUGAAGAGCAGAGCAGAUACCAAAGAGAAGACCAUUAGAAUAUACUUUUGAGUGAGCAGUUCCAUCACUGUCAUCAUGGAAAGGCUCAGAGGGGAUGUGUUCAAAGAGUAUUUAUUUGAAGAAACCUGUGAAUAUGAGGCCAAGGUAGAAAAGCAAAAGGAGCGCUCUAUAGACAAAAUUUCAAAAAAAUCUGUUGCCCAAACCACUGGUUUUCAGCAAAUAAUAGUUGGCCAUGAAGAAAUAUCUUGUGAGGAAAAUGGGCAUACUUUUAAUGAGUUUGAGAGAGGUUUUGAUCUAAGAUCUAAACUUAUCCCACGGAAUGUUACUCAUUCAGAAAAGAAACUACAUAUAUUUGAUCCAUUUGGGGAAAGUGUCAAAUGGAACUUAUCUCCAAUUAAAAGUCAAAGAGCUUCUAAAAAGAAAACUUAUAAUUGUAGUGACUGUGGAAAAAAUUUCAGUGACCGUUCAAACUUGUUUCGUCAUGAGAGAAUUCAUACUGGUGAGAAACCUUAUAAGUGUCAUGACUGUGGAAAAGCAUUUAUCCAAAGUUCAUCUCUUACUGAACAUCAGAGAACUCAUACUGGAGAAAAACCCUAUAAAUGUAAAGUUUGUGGAAAAGCAUUCACUGUAAAUUCAUCACUUGUUCAACAUCUGAGAAUUCAUACUGGGGAGAAACCUUAUAAAUGUAAUGAAUGUGGGAAAGCCUUCAGUGACUACUCAUCCUUUAUUCAACAUCAAAGAAUUCACAGUGGAGAGAAACCCUAUGAAUGUAUUAACUGUUGGAAGUCCUUCAAUGAUAUCUCAACUCUUACACAACAUCAGAGAAUUCACACUGGAGUGAAACCCUAUAAGUGUAAUGAUUGUGGGAAGGCAUUUAGACGAAGUACACACCUUACCCAACACCAGAGGACUCAUACUGGGGAAAAGCCUUAUAACUGUAAUGAAUGUGGAAAAGCAUUCAGUGCCCACUCAACCUUUACACAACACCAAAGGAUUCACACUGGAGAAAAACCCUAUACAUGCAGUGAAUGUGGGAAGGGCUUCCCUGAAAACUCGUCCCUUACUAAACAUCAUCGAAUUCAUACUGGAGAGAAACCUUAUGAAUGUUGUGAAUGUGAUAAAGCUUUUAGCCAGAGCACUCAUCUUAUUCAUACUGGAGAAUUCAUACUGGAGAGAAACACUUUAAAUGUGAUAAAUGUGGAAAAGCAUUUGGUAACAGUUCAAUCCUGAUCAGACAUCAGCAGCUUCACACUUUAGAGUCAUCCUAAUGAUACUGCAGUUUUGUGGACUACUUCAUCCUUUCAUGAGCCACUCUUACUUUUUGGUCAUAUGUCUCUUACCCAUGCCACCCACUCUUGCUUACAAUUAGAAUUUCUAGGAAUGUUGUAUUCCUGGGAUAAAGUAAAACAUUACGUAAUAUUUUAAAUUUAAGUUUCCCAUACUGACGCUGUUUUGUUAGGUGCAUAGAGAUUUAGAUUGUUAUGUGUUCUUGGAGAAUUGGCCCUUUUUUCAUACUUUAAUGCCCCUUCUUAUCCCGUAGUAUCCUCCCUGUUCUGAAGUCUGCUCUGUCUGAAAUUAAUAAAAGUUACGUCAGCUUACUUUUGAUUAGUGUUAGCAUGACAUAUCUUUCUCCAUCUCUUUACUUUUAACAUAAUGUUUGUUACUGUUUUCUAUUCUUUGUGUUUUUGUUUCCUUUCUUCCAUCUUUUUCUGCCUUCUCCCUCCACAACUUUCAUCAAAAGUAGACUAUGACAUCCCAAAGCACGAGGACUAUCGGAUGCUGCAUGCGGUGGGGCGUGGGGGUCAGAAGGCACCUGAAGUGGUUCUGCAGGCUCGCCAGUUGUGAGCGUGGGCUCCAGGGAACUGAGAGGUUGAGGUCUGCACUUCCCAGCUGGCCAGCAGGCGGCACCAAGCCCACCUCUCUGAUACUUGAGGUGCAUGUGUGUUCCACUGGUGGACUUGGCUCAUGAAGGAACUUGGCUACUUGUGCCACUGAUAGAAGCUCGGUCUCUUCAGGAUCCACCAUGGUUUCAGCUUUGGGACAACACUUGGCUGAGUCCAUGCAGACAGAUCUGAACCCAGUGUCUUUAGGAACCACCAGGAGGCACCACCUUGGGAGUAAAAGGUUUCAGGAAAAUCGCUUUGCCUGGCUGCGGAAAGAAGAGGACCCCCAAAUCAUCCGAAGUCCUUGGGUCCUUGUAGCUGGUUGUAUAGAGAACUGGACACAUGCCAAAUGAGUAUUUGGCCUCCCUGCUCGAUCACCUGUAACCAAGCAUGGACAAGCCCUCUUUGAACAGUCUCCUUGAAUGCUGGAGAGGCUCUCUGGAUCUAUGUAACUGGAAGGAUCAAUCCAAGGGUUUGAAAGAAGAUACCAAGGGGGUCCUUAAUUUAGUCUGGGGAAUAUUCCACACUCCUUUCCCCACUUGGGUGGAUGUCCAAACCCUCCUGAACAUCGUAUUCUCUGUGGAAGAAAAGACACUGAUUAUAACUAAUGCAACUGAAGAAGCUGAUAAGACCAAGCGAGAUAAUGCAGGACAAGCUCUAUACCAGCCUUGAAUCCAGGCCAUUCCCUACAUGGACCCUGGGUGGGACCAGUAAGUGGAAAAUGGUCAGCAGCACCUCACACAUUUCAGGGAUUUGAUUCUUAAGAGCAUUCAGUUGGCUGGGAAGAAACCCUUAAAUUGGAGUAGGGUUCAGGGAGUCAUCCAGGGACUGAAGGAAACCCCCUUGGCUUUCCUGGAAUGCCUAAGGGAGUGCCUUUGUGGGUACAUGAAGGUGAACCUGGAGUCAGUGGAAGGGUAGGCCAUUCUUAAGUCCCAUUUCGCUUCCCAGAGCGCCCCAGACAUUAGGAGAAAAUGACAGAAGUUGGAGAUAGGGCGCACUACACCUUCUUCCUGGGGUGGAGUCAGCAUUUCGGGUGUUCAACAACCAGGAUCUGGAGGCAGAUGCCAAGGAAGCUAGACCAGCGGAACCAACUGCCAGUAUUCUGGCUUCAGUAAUUCAGGGUCAGUCAACCUCCCAGUGAUGAUGGGGCCUCCCCUAGAGGGACCCUGUGACAUCAGUCACCCCAGGUUUUGAAGACCACACCCACAGUGGAGAGAAGGGCUCAAAGCCAGUCUGUGUGCAUACUGCAGGGAGGAGGGCCACGGGGAGGGGGAUGCCCCAGACGUCUCAGAAGGAAGCAAAAGGGACCACUGUGUCCAGGCUCAUCCUUGCUGGUCUCACACGUGAAAGAAGAAGAGGACUGAAGGGGCCCAGGGGCUCCUUGGAGAAGCCUUGGCUGACCCUGACUGUGGGGGUAAAACACACUUUCUAGUCGACACAGGGGCCAUCUACUCAGUCUUGAACACCCGACAAGGCAGAAUGACCAAGGAUAAAUGUAAGAUAAUGGGAGUGGAAGGGAAGCCACAGGAACAUAAUUUUAUAGAGCCCCUUGAGUGCGAUUUGAAAGGGAGAAUGUUAUCUCACUCUUAUAUGUACCAGAAUGCCCAAUUCCCCUAAUAGGAAAAGAUUUACUAUACAAAUUGGGAGCUACAAUUUAUCUCUGAGACAAAAAACCUUACCACUGAAAAGCCCAGAAUACCCAAGGUGGAUGAUUAACAGUCAUGGGCAGCUGUUCCUCAUCAGCCACUGCACUGCAGGCCAUCCUGGAAGCUCACCAGAGGACACAUUGUGAGCAGGAGGCCCUAUAUCAAUGGCUCAUCAGGGAUUUCCCUGGUGGUCCACUGGCUAAGACUCUGUGCUCCCUGUGCAGGGGGCCUGGGUUUGAUCCCUGUCAGGGAACUAGAUCCCACAUGCUGCAAC